rnacentral:rRNA from 1 species
AACGCUAGCUACAGGCUUAACACAUGCAGGUCGAGGGGCAGCAUGGUCUUAGCUUGCUAAGGCCGAUGGCGACCGGCGCACGGGUGAGUAACACGUAUCCAACCUGCCGUCUACUCUUGGACAGCCUUCUGAAAGGAAGAUUAAUACAAGAUGGCAUCAUGAGUUCACAUGUUCACAUGAUUAAAGGUAUUCCGGUAGACGAUGAGGAUGCGUUCCAUUAGAUAGUAGGCGGGGUAACGGCCCACCUAGUCUUCGAUGGAUAGGGGUUCUGAGAGGAAGGUCCCCCACAUUGGAACUGAGACACGGUCCAAACUCCUACGGGAGGCAGCAGUGAGGAAUAUUGGUCAAUGGGCGCAGGCCUGAACCAGCCAAGUAGCGUGAAGGAUGACUGCCCUAUGGGUUGUAAACUUCUUUUAUAAAGGAAUAAAGUCGGGUAUGUAUACCCGUUUGCAUGUACUUUAUGAAUAAGGAUCGGCUAACUCCGUGCCAGCAGCCGCGGUAAUACGGAGGAUCCGAGCGUUAUCCGGAUUUAUUGGGUUUAAAGGGAGCGUAGAUGGAUGUUUAAGUCAGUUGUGAAAGUUUGCGGCUCAACCGUAAAAUUGCAGUUGAUACUGGAUAUCUUGAGUGCAGUUGAGGCAGGCGGAAUUCGUGGUGUAGCGGUGAAAUGCUUAGAUAUCACGAAGAACUCCGAUUG